rnacentral:lncRNA from 1 species
GACGGGGAUGCUGGGUGCUUGCUGUGCUGGAACUGGCAUUUGCGGGCCCAGCCCCUAUGAGCUGAGGGCCUGUCUCAGGGAGCAACAGCACCACCUCGUGUGCUGCACAUCCGUUCCUUCCUGGCGAAUUCGUGAGCACCUGCUGCAUUCCUGAACUGCGCUGAGGACGCGGGCCUGAGCAGAGAUGUCCCCACCUCAGGGGCUGACAUCCCAGGGAGGAAGACGGGGAGUGAGUAAGUUGCAUGGUCCAGAUGGUCUCAGACAAACCUACGAGGAGGCCCGAGUGACGCGGACGAAUGGGUAUCUGGGUGGCGGGGAUGGUUACGGGUUGAACGGGGCCCGCCCGGAAGCUCACGUCCACCUGGAACCUCGGAAUGCGGCUUAUUUAGAA